UGGGGAAUAUUGGGCAAUGGGCGAAAGCCUGACCCAGCAACGCCGCGUGAAGGAAGAAGGCCUUCGGGUUGUAAACUUCUUUUAUGAGGGAAGAAGGACGUGACGGUACCUCAUGAAUAAGCCACGGCUAACUACGUGCCAGCAGCCGCGGUAAUACGUAGGUGGCAAGCGUUGUCCGGAUUUACUGGGUGUAAAGGGCGCGUAGGCGGACUGACAAGUCAGAUGUGAAAUCCAUGGGCUUAACCCAUGAACUGCAUUUGAAACUAUUGGUCUUGAGUAUCGGAGAGGCAAGCGGAAUUCCUAGUGUAGCGGUGAAAUGCGUAGAUAUUAGGAGGAACACCAGUGGCGAAGGCGGCUUGCUGGACGACAACUGACGCUGAGGCGCGAAAGCGUGGGGAGCAAACAGG
rnacentral:rRNA from 2 species